rnacentral:snRNA from 1 species
GGAAUUGAAGGUGAUUUGGUUGCAACAUCUGUCACUCUACUGACCACCAGGAUUGAUUUGGCUGGUUAGGUGGGUGUCCCCUUCCUCCCUUACUACUCCCCAUGUGUGUCCUUGAAGUGUCAAAAAGGAUGACCUUCACUAGAGAGGAGGACCAUUCUUUUGUCAAGGGUAUACCAAUAUCCUCUUAGAGUCUCCAAACAAGCUCUUAAGACUCAACAAUUUAAAAAACAUAAAACAUAGGCAAAAGAUCUGAUGGACAUAUGCCAAGUACACAUUUGGAAUUUGUUCCUCACAAAUUACUCAAU